rnacentral:rRNA from 1 species
CUCCUCCGGGAGGCAGCAGUGAGGAAUUUUCCGCAAUGGGCGAAAGCCUGACGGAGCGACGCCGCGUGUGGGAAGAAGGGCCUUCGGGUCGUAAACCACUGUCGAAGGGGACGAGUAAUGACGGUACCCUUGGAGGAAGCCCCGGCUAACUACUUGCCAGCAGCCGCGUAAUAC